rnacentral:rRNA from 1 species
AUUGAACGCUGGCGGCAGGCCUAACACAUGCAAGUCGAGCGGUAGCACAGAGAGCUUGCUCUCGGGUGACGAGCGGCGGACGGGUGAGUAAUGUCUGGGAAACUGCCUGAUGGAGGGGGAUAACUACUGGAAACGGUAGCUAAUACCGCAUAACGUCGCAAGACCAAAGUGGGGGACCUUCGGGCCUCAUGCCAUCAGAUGUGCCCAGAUGGGAUUAGCUAGUGGCUGGGGUAACGGCUCACCUAGGCGACGAUCCCUAGCUGGUCUGAGAGGCUGACCCGCCACACUGGAACUGAGGCACGGUCCAGACUCCUACGGGAGGCAGCAGUGGGGAAUAUUGCACAAUGGGCGCAAGCCUGAUGCAGCCAUGCCGCGUGUGUGAAGAAGGCCUUCGGGUUGUAAAGCACUUUCAGCGGGGAGGAGGGCGGUGAGGUUAAUAACCUCAUCGAUUGACGUUACCCGCAGAAGAAGCACCGGCUAACUCCGUGCCAGCCGCCGCGGUAAUAC